ACUUUCGCAUUUAUAAGUAGGGGAGACUGGGUACGGUUGAAACAAAGGACAGUUGAAACAGAGCAAAUAUCUCGUAAACGGUUCCACGGGGAGUUAGGGGUCCUAGGGGAAAAAGAAGCGGACAACAGGUCCGAACACGAAUUUAGUGCCUAAAACUUCCUAACGCGUUGACGUUGUGUGCAAAACGCCAUAUUGUUUUUUACCACCCAAAAGUAAGUAUUUUUCUUCAGACAUUAACGCUUAUACUACCUGUUCUUUUUAUGUGAAUGUAUCGAGUGUGCGUUUGCGAUUAUAAUGAAGCUUGCAGAAUAAGGGCCAGUAACUAUUUUUAAUGUGUUAUCAUUAGUGUCGAAACUAUAAAGUAUAUUUUACCAAAAGUGGGGUUGGGGGCGGUUGAAACAUUUUUUGUGGGUACGGUUGAAACAGAAAAUUUAUUAAUGUUUAUUUUUUGUAGAUACCGAGAGUUUGGGUAAGGAAGAUUCCAGAGAGGAAAUUGACUUAGUAAAGCUUAAGAGGAGGUAAAAGCUGGAGAUUCACUGCGGAAAGCGGCGAAAAUUUAUGAUUUGAAAAAAA